rnacentral:rRNA from 1 species
GCUUAGAAGCAGCCACUCAUUUAAAGAGUGCGUAAUAGCUCACUGGUCGAGUGAUUCUGCGCCGAAAAUUUCCGGGGCUAAAACUUACUACCGAAGCUACGGCAUCAUUAUGAUGGGUAGGGGAGCUUUCUAUACGGGUUGAAGCAUGACCGUAAGGACAUGUGGACUGUAUAGAAGUGAGAAUGUUGGCAUGAGUAGCGAGAUGUGGGUGAGAAUCCCACAGGCCGUAAACCCAAGGUUUCCAGGGGAAGGUUCGUCCGCCCUGGGUUAGUCAGGACCUAAGCCGAGGCCGAAAGGCGUAGGUGAUGGACAACAGGUUGAUAUUCCUGUACCACCAAUAACCGUUUGAGAAAUGGGAUGACACAGUAGGAUAAGCUAACCGCACUGUUGGUUAUGUGCGGGCAAGUAUUGAGGCAGUUCCGAUAGGCAAAUCCGUCGGAAUAAUGCUGGGGUACGAUGCGGAGCGAAAUUAAGUAGCGAAGUAGCUGAUUUCACACUGUCGAGAAAAGUCUCUAUCGAGGUUAAAGGUGCCUGUACCGCAAACCGACACAGGUGGGUGAGGAGAGUAUCCUAAGGCCAGCGAGAGAACUGUUGUUAAGGAACUCGGCAAAAUGACCCCGUAACUUAGGGAGAAGGGGUGCCUUCGAAAGAAGGCCGCAGAGAAUAGGCCCAAGCGACUGUUUACCAAAAACAUAGGUUUCUGCUAAGUCGCAAGACGAUGUAUAGGAGCUGACGCCUGCCCGGUGCUGGAAGGUUAAGGGGAUCUGUUAGAGCAAUCGAAGCAGUGAACUUAAGCCCCAGUAAACGGCGGCCGUAACUAUAACGGUCCUAAGGUAGCGAAAUUCCUUGUCGGGUAAGUUCCGACCCGCACGAAAGGCGUAACGAUUUGGGCACUGUCUCAACAACAGACUCGGUGAAAUUGUAAUACCGGUGAAGAUGCCGGUUACCUGCGACAGGACGGAAAGACCCCAUGGAGCUUUACUGUAGCUUGACAUUGAGUCUCGGUGCUACAUGUACAGGAUAGGUGGGAGACUAUGAAGCAUGGACGUCAGUCUGUGUGGAGUCAUCCUUGGGAUACCACCCUUGUAGUACUGGGAUUCUAACCAGAGGCCAUGAAUCUGGUCUUGGGACACUGUCAGGUGGACAGUUUGACUGGGGCGGUCGCCUCCCAAAAAGUAACGGAGGCGCUCAAAGGUUCUCUCAGUACGGUCGGAAAUCGUACGAAGAGUGUAAAGGCAAAAGAGAGCUUGAUUGCAAGACAUACAGGUCGAGCAAGGACGAAAGUCGGACUUAGUGAUCCGGUGGUUCCGCAUGGAAGGGCCAUCGCUCAACGGAUAAAAGCUA